UAAAAGUAGUCCUUCUCUGUAAAAUAUAGCACCUUUGAUGUCAUUGUUUAAUUGAAGUAAGAUACACAUUUGCAGAAAUGGGGGUUGGCCUAUUCCAUGGCUUCUAGAGAAAAAUAAUGAGGGGUGUCACGGGGUAUGACUGUAUAGGUCUUGUAGAGGAGAAACAGGCGCAUCUUUUGCGCAAGGUAUCGGAGGGCGCUAUGUUCAAAAAUCUGAAACUAGAGCUCAAAAUUUGAAAACAAAUUGUUAAAAACAGGGGAGGUUGGCCUAUUCCAUGGCUUCUAGAGAAAAAAAAUGAGGGGUGUCACGGGGUAUGACUAUAUAGGUCUUGUAGAGGAGAAACAGUCGCAUCUUUUGCGCAAGGUAUCGAAGGGCGCUACGUUCAAAAAUCUGAAACUAGAGCUCAAAAUUUGAAAAAAAAUUGUUAAAAACAGGGGAGGUUGGCCUAUUCCAUGGCUUCUAGAGAAAAAUAAUGAGGGGUGUCACGGGGUAUGACUAUAUAGGUCUUGUAGAGGAGAAACAGGCGCAUCUUUUGCGCAAGGUAUCGAAGGGCGCUAUGUUCAAAAAUCUGAAACUAGAGCUCAAAAUUUGAAAACAAAUUGUUAAUAACUGGGGGGUUGGCCUAUUCCAUGGCUUCUAGAGAAAAAUAAUGAGGGGUGUCACGGGGUAUGACUAUAUAGGUCUUGUAGAAGAGAAACAGGCGCAUCUUUUGCGCAAGGUAUCGAAGGGCGCUAUGUUCAAAAAUCUGAAACUAGAGCUCAAAAUUUGAAAACAAAUUGUUAAUAACUGGGGGGUUGGCCUAUUCCAUGGCUUCUAGAGAAAAAUAAUGAGGGGUGUCACGGGUAUGACUAUAUAGGUCUUGCAGAUGAGAAACAG